AUUGAACGCUGGCGGCAUGCCUUACACAUGCAAGUCGAACGGCAGCACGGGGGCGAACCCUGGUGGCGAGUGGCGAACGGGUGAGUAAUACAUCGGAACGUGCCCAGUAGUGGGGGAUAGCCCGGCGAAAGCCGGAUUAAUACCGCAUAAGACCUACGGGUGAAAGCGGGGGAGUCGCAAGACCUCGCGCUAGUGGAGCGGCCGAUGUCAGAUUAGGUUGUUGGUGGGGUAAAGGCCUACCAAGCCGACGAUCUGUAGCUGGUCUGAGAGGACGACCAGCCACACUGGGACUGAGACACGGCCCAGACUCCUACGGGAGGCAGCAGUGGGGAAUUUUGGACAAUGGGCGCAAGCCUGAUCCAGCCAUGCCGCGUGCGGGAAGAAGGCCU
rnacentral:rRNA from 1 species